rnacentral:rRNA from 1 species
UACGGAGGGUGCAAGCGUUAUCCGGAUUCACUGGGUUUAAAGGGUGCGUAGGCGGGUAAGUAAGUCCGUGGUGAAAUCUCUGAGCUUAACUCAGAAACUGCCGUGGAUACUAUUUGCCUUGAAUAUUGUGGAGGUGAGCGGAAUAUGUCAUGUAGCGGUGAAAUGCUUAGAUAUGACAUAGAACACCUAUUGCGAAGGCAGCUUACUACGCCUAUAUUGACGCUGAGGCACGAAAGCGUGGGGAUCAAACAGG